GAUCAUGGCUCAGGAUGAACGCUGGCGGCGUGCUUAACACAUGCAAGUCGAACGGGAAAUACUUUAUUGAAACUUCGGUCGAUUUAAUUUAUUUCUAGUGGCGGACGGGUGAGUAACGUGUGGGUAACCUGCCUUAUACCGGGGGAUAACAGCCAGAAAUGGCUGCUAAUACCGCAUAAGCGCACAGAACCGCAUGGUUCGGUGUGAAAAACUCCGGUGGUAUAAGAUGGACCCGCGUUGGAUUAGCUAGUUGG
rnacentral:rRNA from 1 species